rnacentral:rRNA from 1 species
UUAAGUCCCGCAACGAGCGCAACCCUUGAUCUUAGUUGCCAUCAUUAAGUUGGGCACUCUAAGGUGACUGCCGGUGACAAACCGGAGGAAGGUGGGGAUGACGUCAAAUCAUCAUGCCCCUUAUGACCUGGGCUACACACGUGCUACAAUGGACGGUACAAAGAGCUGCAAGACCSCGAGGUGGAGCUAAUCUCAUAAAACCGUUCUCAGUUCGGAUUGUAGGCUGCAACUCGCCUACAUGAAGCUGGAAUCGCUAGUAAUCGCGGAUCAGCAUGCCGCGG